UAGUCAGUUUAUAUGGUUCAGUAUUUUUAUUACAUUGGAAUAUGUGGACUUUCAUGAAUGUAAUAAAAGGAUUUCUGGAUUGGUAAAAUAAAAGGUUUUCUACCCCUCGUGGUAGCUUUUAUAAAAGAUAAAAGUUUUCGCGUAUGGAACAGUUUUCAAAAGGUUUUUCGUGGACUUUUGUUCAAACAUCGAAUGCAAAACUACGGUGUGAAUGGUGAAUGUAUGAAUGUAUAGCUAUCUGUAUAUUCAUUUAGUUGUGGUUGUAUACUGUUUGUACUUUUGUACUUGUGCGACGCCAUGCAAAUACAGGGGAGACUCUGUCCGUGUGAACAGUGGAUUCCCUGUAUUUGUGGCGGAUCUGGCAUACUCUGGAGUCAGGUUUUUUUUUUUUAAAAAAAAAAAAAAUUAAACGCUUUUCCGCUGUGUUUCAAACUAAAAAGGGGACCCCGGGGCGUGACAGAAACAUAGCUAUUGGACUAUUA
rnacentral:lncRNA from 1 species